GACAGAGGUGCCAAGCGUUAGGCGGAAUCACUGGGCUUAAAGCGUGUGUAGGCGGAUCGUUAAGUACCUUGUGAAAUCCCACGGCUCAACCGUGGAACUGCUUGGUAUACUGGCGGUCUUGAGCCAGCUAGGGGCUACCGGAACAAAUGGUGGAGCGGUGAAAUGCGUAGAUAUCAUUUGGAACGCCAAUGGUGAAAACAGGUAGCUGGGGCUGUGCUGACGCUGAGACACGAAAGCCAGGGGAGCGAACGGG
rnacentral:rRNA from 1 species